ACGCUGGCGGCGUGCUUAACACAUGCAAGUCGAACGAUGAAGCCUAGCUUGCUAGGUGGAUUAGUGGCGAACGGGUGAGUAAUACGUGAGUAACCUACCUUUAACUCUGGGAUAAGCCUGGGAAACUGGGUCUAAUGCCGGAUACGACCAAUCUCCGCAUGGGGUGUUAGUGGAAAGCGUUAUGUAGUGGUUAUAGAUGGGCUCACGGCCUAUCAGCUUGUUGGUGAGGUAACGGCUCACCAAGGCGACGACGGGUAGCCGGCCUGAGAGGGUGACCGGCCACACUGGGACUGAGACACGGCCCAGACUCCUACGGGAGGCAGCAGUGGGGAAUAUUGCACAAUGGGCGCAAGCCUGAUGCAGCGACGCCACGUGAGGGAUGACGGCCUUCGGGUUGUAAACCUCUGUUAGCAGGGAAGAAGAGAAAUUGACGGUACCUGCAGAGAAAGCGCUGGCUAACUACGUGCCAGCAGCCGCGGUAAUACGUAGGGCGCGAGCGUUGUCCGGAAUUAUUGGGCGUAAAGAGCUUGUAGGCGGUUUGUCGCGUCUGCUGUGAAAGGCCGGGGCUUAACCCCGUGUAUUGCAGUGGGUACGGGCAGACUAGAGUGCAGUAGGGGAGACUGGAAUUCCUGGUGUAGCGGUGGAAUGCGCAGAUAUCAGGAGGAACACCGAUGGCGAAGGCAGGUCUCUGGGCUGUAACUGACGCUGAGAAGCGAAAGCAUGGGGAGCGAACAGGAUUAGAUACCCUGGUAGUCCAUGCCGUAAACGUUGGGCACUAGGUGUGGGGGACAUUCCACGUUUUCCGCGCCGUAGCUAACGCAUUAAGUGCCCCGCCUGGGGAGUACGGCCGCAAGGCUAAAACUCAAAGAAAUUGACGGGGGCCCGCACAAGCGGCGGAGCAUGCGGAUU
rnacentral:rRNA from 1 species